UACGUAGGGUGCAAGCGUUGUCCGGAAUUAUUGGGCGUAAAGAGCUCGUAGGCGGUCUGUCGCGUCUGCUGUGAAAACUCGGGGCUUAACCCCGGGCCUGCAGUGGGUACGGGCAGACUAGAGUGCGGUAGGGGAGACUGGAAUUCCUGGUGUAGCGGUGAAAUGCGCAGAUAUCAGGAGGAACACCGGUGGCGAAGGCGGGUCCCUGGGCCGAUACUGACGCUGAGGAGCGAAAGCGUGGGGAGCGAACAGG
rnacentral:rRNA from 1 species